UAUUCUGUCUUGAAGACACACUGCAGUAAGUUUACUUUUAUCAAUAUUUAAAAGAAAAUUAUCAUAAGUAUGCUAGGGACUGUUAAUUCUGAUGCAUUUAAACUUUUAGUUUUGCUUAGAAAACUUACUUAUACAGAUUUUUUUUAAAGAAAUUCAAGCUUUUCAUAUGUAUUGUAUUAUCAUUCCUCGUGUUUUAGCUGCAACAAAUAUGAAGUGGAUUGAAGCUAAAAUGAAAGAGCUGGGAGUGAGCACAAAUGCAAAUUAUAAGAUUACUUUCAUGUUGGAUAGUGCUGCUAUGAUAACAGUACAUACUCCAAGGAGAGGAUUAAUAGACGUAAGAAGUCAUUUUAUUUCUAUUUAAUGACACCAUGGUUAUUUUCCAGUGUACUUUUUAUGUUUAUACCGAUGGAGUAAAUAAAGAGUGU
rnacentral:sRNA from 1 species